UCUUACUUCUGUUCCUUUUUUGCAGAUAAUUAGCAUGUCUGAAAAUUACAUGAGACAUUUGAUGUUACAGGCAACCUAAGCUUGAAAAUGAUAAUUUAUGUAAGUGAAUUAAUUUAUUUUAGAUUCAAAAGUCCUUCAUAACAGAUUGUUAUGCUGUGCUGUUAUUCUUUUCCUUUUGUGUUUACUGGCAGACUAGUAACAAUUCAUCCAGUUAAAAUCACACAUGUUGAAGUUCAUUGGUUAAUUGUGAUCAAUCUGCAUGGGUAAUAACAGUGUGUUUAUAUCUCCAGGAUGGGCCCACUUUGCAGAAAAGUUUCAAAUAUUAAAGCAGACAUCAACGAGAACCCACCCAGCACUUAUGAAAAUGUGCAUAACAUGAAAACAAUGGAUAAAGGUCCUUCUCUUCCAAGUCCCAGCACAGAUCCCCAUUACAUG